rnacentral:miRNA from 1 species
GGUUAUGCCAAAGACAGGCAAUAACAUAACCAUUCAACUUGAAUGGUUAUGUUAUUGCCUGUCUUUGGCAUAACC